AGAUUGAACGCUGGCGGCAUGCCUUACACAUGCAAGUCGAACGGUAGAGUAGCAAUACUUGAGAGUGGCGAACGGGUGAGUAAUAUAUCGGAACGUGCCCAGUCGUGGGGGGAUAACGUAGAGAAAUUUACGCUAAUACCGCAUACGAUCUAAGGAUGAAAGCGGGGGACCGUAAGGCCUCGCGCGAUUGGAGCGGCUGAUAUCAGAUUAGGUUGUUGGUGAGGUAAAGGCUCACCAAGCCGACGAUCUGUAGCUGGUUUGAGAGAACGACCAGCCACACUGGGACUGAGACACGGCCCAGACUCCUACGGGAGGCAGCGAGUGGGGAAUUUUGGACAAUGGGUCGAAAGACCUGAUCCAGCAAUGCCGCGUGCAGGAAGAAGGCCUUCGGGUUGUAAACUGCUUUGUACGGAACGAAACGGUCUGCUUAAUACAGUGGCUAAUGACGGUACGUAAGAAUAAGCACCGACUAACUACGUGCCAGCAGCCGACGGUA
rnacentral:rRNA from 1 species